rnacentral:ncRNA from 1 species
UAAAGGCUUGGUCCUGACUUUACUAUCAGCUUCAACUCAACUUAUACAUGCAAGUAUCCGCACCCCCGUGAGAAUGCCCUCAAUCCCCCGUCCGGAGAUGAGGAGCGGGCAUCAGGCACUUCCCCACAGCCCAAGACGCCUUGCUACGCCACACCCCCAAGGGAAUUCAGCAGUAAUAAACAUUAAGCCAUAAGCGAAAGCUCGACUUAGUUAGAGUUUCUAGGGCCGGUAAAACUCGUGCCAGCCACCGCGGUCAUACGAGUGACCCAAGUAGAUAGACACGGCGUAAAGAGUGGUUAGGGGCACAAACAAAUAGGGCCGAACACCCUCCAGGCUGUUAUACGCUUUUCGAGAUCACGAAGCCCCACCACGAAAGUGGCCCUACCAAAAACUACCCGAACCCACGAAAGCUAAGAAACAAACUGGGAUUAGAUACCCCACUAUGCUUAGCCAUAAACAUAGAUGCUAACCUACAACUAUCAUCCGCCAGGGUACUACGAGCACCAGCUUAAAACCCAAAGGACUUGGCGGUGCUUCAGACCCACCUAGAGGAGCCUGUUCUAGAACCGAUAAUCCCCGUUCAACCUCACCACCCCUUGCCCUCUCCGCCUAUAUACCACCGUCGUCAGCUCACCCCGUGAGAGUCAAACAGUGAGCGCAAUGGGCAAACCCCAGAACGUCAGGUCGAGGUGUAGCGAAUGAGGUGGGAAGAAAUGGGCUACAUUUUCUGCCACAGAAUACUACGAAAAGCAAACUGAAAUAAAUGCUUUAAAGGUGGAUUUAGUAGUAAAAAGAAAACAGAGAGUUCUUUUGAACCAGGCUCUGAAGCACGCACACACCGCCCGUCACCCUCCCCAAACGUAACCAUAACAUAGUAACUUAACACCCAAACCUUCAACACGGGGAGGCAAGUCGUAACAUGGUAAGUGUACCGGAAGGUGCACUUGGAAAAAC